CCUGCGGCGGCCUAUACAUGCAAGUCGAACGGUAACAGUCCCGGCAACGGGAGCUGACGAGUGGCGCACGGGUGCGUAACACGUAUGCAACCUACCCUGUACUGGGGGAUAACCCUGAGAAAUCGGGGCUAAUACCUCAUGGUAAUAUAGAUGGGCAUCCAUUUAUAUUUAAAGAUUCAUUGGUACGGGAUGGGCAUGCGCCCCAUUAGUUAGUUGGUGAGGUAACGGCUCACCAAGGCGAUGAUGGGUAGGGGUUCUGAGAGGAUUAUCCCCCACACUGGUACUGAGACACGGACCAGACUCCUACGGGAGGCAGCAGUAAGGAAUAUUGGGCAAUGGAGGCAACUCUGACCCAGCCAUGCCGCGUGCAGGAAGACGGCCCUAUGGGUUGUAAACUGCUUUUGUAUGGGACUAACCAUGGUUACUGGUAACCAUCUGCAUGUACCAUACGAAUAAGCAUCGGCUAACUCCGUGCCAGCAGCCGCGGUAAUACGGAGGAUGCGAGCGUUAUCCGGAAUUAUUGGGUUUAAAGGGUGCGUAGGCUGACAAGUAAGUCAGUGGUGAAAUACCCCGGCUUAACCGGGGGGUUGCCAUUGAAACUGUUUGUCUUGAGUGUAAUCGAAGUGGGCGGAAUGAGGGGUGUAGCGGUGAAAUGCAUAGAUAUUCCUCAGAACACCGAUAGCGCAGGCAGCUCACUAGCUUACAACUGACGCUGANGCACGAAAGCGUGGGUAUCAAACAGGAUUAGAUACCCUGGUAGUCCACGCUGUAAACGAUGAUCACUAGCUGUUUGCGAUACACAGUAAGCGG
rnacentral:rRNA from 1 species